rnacentral:rRNA from 1 species
CAGUAGCCGCGGGAAUACGAAGGGGGCUAGCGUUGCUCGGAAUGACUGGGCGUAAAGGGCGCGUAGGCGGUUUUGACAGUCAGAUGUGAAAUUCCUGGGCUUAACCUGGGGGCUGCAUUUAAGACGUCAAGACUAGAGUGUGAGAGAGGGUUGUGGAAUUCCCAGUGUAGAGGUGAAAUUCGUAGAUAUUGGGAAGAACACCGGUGGCGAAGGCGGCAACCUGGCUCAUUACUGACGCUGAGGCGCGAAAGCGUGGGGAGCAAACAGGAUUAGAUACCCCGGUAGUCCCUGUCUCUUAUAC